rnacentral:rRNA from 1 species
UACGGGGGGGGCAAGCGUUGUUCGGAAUUACUGGGCGUAAAGGGCUCGUAGGCGGCCAACUAAGUCAGACGUGAAAUCCCCAGGCUCAACCUGGGAACUGCGUCUGAUACUGGAUGGCUUGAAUCCGGGAGAGGGAUGCAGAAUUCCAGGUGUAGCGGUGAAAUGCGUAGAUAUCUGGAGGAAUACCGGUGGCGAAGGCGGCAUCCUGGACCGGCAUUGACGCUGAGGAGCGAAAGCCAGAGGAGCAAACGGG